GACGAACGCUGGCGGCGUGCUUAAUACAUGCAAGUCGAACGGAAAGGCCCUGCUCUUGUGGGGUGCUCGUGUGGCGAAGGGGUGUGUAACACGCGAGUAACCCGCCCUUGUCUUUGGGAUAACUCUAGGGAACUCGGGCUAAUAUAGGAUAGGAGCUCUUGCUGCAUGGUGUGGGUUGGAAAGUUGCGGCGGUUGGGGCUGGACUCGCGGCUUCUCAGCUUGAUGGUGGGGUAGUGGCGUACCAAGGCUUUGAAGGGUAGCCGGCCUGGGAGGGCGACCGGCCCCAGUGUGACAGGGAUGCGACCCAGACUCCUACGGGAGGCAGGAGUGGAGAAUAGUGCACAAAGGGCCGAGGCCUGGUGCAGGGACUCCGCAUGCGAAAUGACUGCCUUCGGGUUGUAAACCACUUUCACCUGUGACGAAGCGUGUGUGACGGUACUGAGUAGAGAAGCACCGGCUAAUUACUU
rnacentral:rRNA from 1 species